CGCCUCUUGAGAUAUAUAAGAGGUCCAGCCUGCCCAGUGACUCUGUUUAACGGCCGCGGUACCCUGACCGUGCGAAGGUAGCACAAUCACUUGCCUUUUAAAUAAAGGCUAGUAUGAAAGGCACCACGAGAAUUUAACUGUCUCCCUCUUCUAAUCAGUGAAACUAACCCCCCUGUGAAAAAGCAGGGAUAAUAAUACAAGACGAGAAGACCCUAUGGAGCUUCAAACGAAAUGACACCCAACCCACUCCACACAAUUUUUCAGAAAACUAACUCAACGGGCAGGCUGAUCACAAGUUUUUGGUUGGGGUGACCGCGGAGCAGAAUCCACCCUCCGCAAUAAAAAGGGCAAAGCCUUAAACUAAUAGCCACAACUUAAAGAAUCAACAAAUUGAUAUAAUUGACCCAAUAUUUUGAUCAACGAACCAAGUUACCCUAGGGAUAACAGCGCAAUCAGCUUCAAGAGUACGUAUCGACAAGCAGGUUUACGACCUCGAUGUUGGAUCAGGGCAUCCCAGUGGUGCAGCCGCUACUAAUGGUUCGUUUGUUCAACGAUUAAAGCCCU
rnacentral:rRNA from 1 species